AAUCUUUAUUGAAAAAAUAAGAAUAGCAGAAUAGGACAUGGAAUUAAUUGAAAAAUAAAGAAUACAUAGAAUGAUAAAAUUCAGCACUCUCAUAGCUCUGACUAAAAAAAAUAUUUUUAAAAAUUCAGCAUGCUUUCUCUCAGCACUGAGCAGUGCAGUUUAGGACAUGUUUUUGGCAAAUUGUUGGUAUUGGUUUGUCUUAAAGGAUUCAUGCAUAGGGCUUAAGAAAGCUUCCUCUUACACGGUACUAAAGUGGCCUAUUAAUGUGUCUCUCUCCCCUAGAUUAGAAUUUUUUUGAGGAAACUGAGACUAUAUCUUCUCUGUGGUCUCCUAGAGGUCAUCAGGGCCACUUUCAUUUUAGAGGUUCCUGGUAUAUUAAAAAAUCAAGAAAUCGGCCAGGCGCAGUGGCUCAGGCCUAUAAUCCCAGCACUUUCGGAGGCCGAGGCGGUCGGAUCACGAGGUAAGAAGAUUGAGACCAUCCUGGCUGACACAGUGAAACCCUGUCUCUACUAAAAAUACAAAAAAAUUAGCCGGGCGUGGUAGCGGGUGCCUGUAGUCCCAGCUACUAUGGAGGCUGAGGCAGGAGAAUCGCGUGAACCCGGGAGGCAGAGCUUGCAGUGAGCCGAGAUCGCACCGCUGCACUCCGGCCUGGGGGACAGAGCAAGACUCCAUUUCAAAAAGAAAAAAAAAUCAAGAAAUCCCAAGUUUCCAAAAAUUGUAGCCUAUUUUAAAUAUUUACAUUUAACAAAUUUCUACUUUUUCACAAAUCAGAAUAUAAUACAAUAUAAUCCAGCUUUUCAAAAGCUAAUUUUCGGAAUUCUAAGAAAUAACAUAUUGUUAAUAAUUCAUCGUGCCCUAGGGGGACAAAAAUUUAAAGUUGAAGAAUUAGCAUCUUUCAGUCCUGUCACUGUAGCUCUGUCUGUGAGGCCUUCCACAUAUAAGAAGUGUCACGUCAAAUGUGCCUGCUGUCUCCCUCAGCCCAAAUUCUUGUCUUGGCCCUGGUCUUGUCAUCUUUGUACCACGAGCCUAGUACAGUGGUUGCUUCAUGGCGGACACUCAACAAAUGCUUGUUGACAUUUGUUUUUAAACUAAACUGUUUUAAGAAUGAUUCAUUUGCCUUCUGAAAGUCAAGAUACCAGAAAAUGAGUCUGUUAUUCAGUUUCUAGAACUCCUAAAGCACUAUUUUACACAUAAUUUUCAGGCUUUGCCAAACUGUUACUAAACUUACAGUGGAUGCUUUCCCCACAUGAUUCAAAUUUCUGGUAUGGAAAAAUCUAAGCAUAAAGGAUGUGUGUGUGGAGGGGGAGGGAAGGCAGUAAAUACCUCAACUCCUGACCCCAUGAACCCAUUUUAUUAGGGAUAAAACCAACGGUUGACUCAUUGAGGGACUUUCUACAGUCAUCUCAGGUGUAUGCUAGACAUGAAAGUCCUAGAAAGUUCUAGAAACAUCCCAGUCUGUGGAAAGCAGCACCACCUCAUCAUAGCUGAAUUUAGAACGACAGCAUUGAUCAAUUCUCUUAGCACUGUAUGAGCCAGGGUCGACACGCAGCAAGUCUUAUGGAGCCCGUGUGCUGCUGCCCUCUAGUGGUUCUUCGGCCUGUGCAGGACCCACCGCUUUUCUCCCACCGUGAGGGGGCAGCAGAACUUCCAGGUUGUCAAACGCUGAAAUCCGCUGGGCUGCUGAAACCAGCCAAGUCCAUGGUCCUCCCCUCAAGGCACCGGAGAUCAUCAAGUAGUGCAGGAGUCAUCAGUCCCAACACUGGGAGAGAUGAGAUUUGGUCCUUCAACUAAAAUGCAGGAUCGCACCGCUAGUCCUCUUCAGUGUCAUUCCCUGCUUUCAAGGAUACAAAACCAAGGGGACGAGGACCGAGGACAGAAUGGAUCUGCCAGCAGGAACCCGAAGCCAAACUGUCUUUCUCCCCACUCUUCCGCCCCCCCGAAAAUGAAGGAAAAGAAACAGCACACUCAAAUAGUUUAAGCCUAUAGAGAUUUAUUAGGGGUUAAAGAUAACUUAAAAUUUGAUGGAAAGGUGAAGGCAGAUUUUCAACUGAACUUCAGGAAUGGCUCUCAGAACCAAACUGCAAAGAACCAAACUGCAAACUAGCUCCCUAAGGGUGAAACUCGGAAAUUUGAAAACACCGAAUCAGGUAAGUAUCACCCCAGCUGCCCUUUUUGAACUCUCGUGCAUGUUGGCUGUUGUGUUGGUAUACACAGGGCAAGGAGACAUUCCCAGAGUUGAGAGAGGCCAAAACACUGAGACCCACCUGCCUAAGAAUCAAUGACUGAACUUGCCAAGAUGCCGCAGUUCCUUCAAGAAGACACAGAUGCUGCAUCCCAAUGGAGCUUACAUUAGCUAAAAGCCAGCACUUGGGGAGGUGGACAGACACAUGUCCAGAGUGCCUUGGAGAGCACAGGCCACCGCUGAAGCUGUGAAAAAAGGCUAAAUACAUGGUGGAAGCAGGAAAGGAAAGGAACCCCAGACUUGCUCCUGGCUCACAGUACUACCUGCUUCCCCAUGCAGAGACACCCCAGUGAGGGCCCUCAUAUUGCCCUUGUGGACUUCACUGGGACUGAACCCUUCAGACCUAAGAGCUUCUAGGGCUCAGUUAUUGGAAACAUUUUCAGUUUUAUUCUUCUGAAUGACUUAAAGAUUUUUCAAUUAGAAAAACUCUCUUCAUGAAUGACAUGUACUAAUGUACUAAAGAACUUUGCUUCUAGAUCUAUUUAGAAUUGUCACACUUCUUCUACUACUGAUUACUACUGUAAUCUACUGGGAUUACAGGUGUGAGCCACUGCGCCUGGCUCAAAUGUGCUUUUCAAUAAAGGAUUGGGAAAAAAUAAGUUAGAGUGCAACUGCAAAUUCCAAAAUGAUUAAGCCCUUGGAAAUAAAAUGGGAUACAUGAUUUGAAAGAUAUCCAAGAGGUGGCAUGUGCAGUAAGAAGAACUCAGCAUUGGGCAGGCUGGUGGCUAUAGCACCAGUGCUGAGAGGGCAGGAUGUUAAGUAGGAAAGAAAAGCCUUUAGAGAAGGGCAGAGUUCCAGGAUCCCUGUCCAUAUGGACAACAUGACCCUAGUCUCUCAUGUCUGUCAGCUCUUGUGUCUUCUGGCUUUUCUUAGUCUCACUCAGCCACAUUGUUUGUAGCACUCACUUCCCUUGAAGGCACUUGAAACUGGGACAUCUGUCCACAGACAGGCCUGUCUGGACAGCCUUCCAAAAUGCUCAUGGCAAUGAGAAAGUCUCUGAGUCCCAGUCAUUUCCCUGCACACAGAGUAGUUCCCAUCUUAGCAAAACUGGGUGUUCUCUGAGUAUCACUCAGCACAUGGAAGCUGUCCAGACUUCUGUCCUGUGCAGGCAGGCAGUAACCUGGGAUCUCUGCUCUUGCAUGCAGAUAAACUUACAGUCCUUCAAAGCUUCAAGCUCCUAGAUGGUGAAACAAUACAUCUGUGCUGAGAGUGAGGAGAAGGAUGCAAUAGUCUUCCAGUUUUGUACUUUUACACUUCUGGGUCAUCAGAAACCAAAGAUUUGCCUUGGUUUCCCAAAGUGUUGGGAUUACAGGCAUGAUCCACCACGUCCAGCUUCAAUAAUUAUUAUUUUUUAUUUAUUUAUUUUGAGACAGAGUCUUGCUCUGUCACCCAGGCUAGACUGCAGUGGCGCCAUCUCGGCUCACUGCAAGCUCCACCUCCAAGGUUCACACCAUUCUCCUGCCUCAGCCUCCUGAGUAGCUGGGACUACAGGUGCCUGCCACCACACCCAGCUAAUUUUUUGUAUUUUUAGUAGAGACGGGGUUUCACCGUGUUAGCCAGGAUGGUCUCAAUCUGCUGACCUUGUGAUCCACCUGCCUCGGCCUCCUAAAGUACUGGGAUUACAGGCAUGAGCCUCCACACCCGGCCCUCAAUUAUUUUUGAUAGUUUUGUGUCAAUAUUUCCAUGAUAUAUAACAAUUCCUUAUUAUUCUAGCAAUCUUUUCCUCAUCAUUUUGUCUUAGUUCUACAUAAUUCUUAUACUGAGGAUUAAACUGAAGCAUGGCUCUAACCCUGAAACUUCUCUAAUAAUUUUUAAUCUCAAUGAUAUUGUUUGAAUAUUUGUCCCCCUCCAAAUCUCAUGUUGAAAUUUGGUUCGGGACAGAGCAGUGGCUUACACCUGUAAUCCCAGCACUUUGGGAAGCCAAGGUGGGAGGAUAGCUUGUGGCCAGGAGUUCAAGACCAGCCUGGGCAACACAGAGAGACCCCUGUCUUGAUAAAAAUAAAAAAGGCCAGGCGCGGUGGCUCACACCUGUAAUCCCAGCACUUUGGGAGGCUGAGGCGGGCGGAUCACAAGGUCAGGAGAUCAAGACCAUCUUGGCUAACACAGUGAAACCUCGUCCCUACUAAAAAUACACACACACACACACACACACACACAAAAUUACCCAGGCGUGGUGGCGGGCACCUGUAGUCCCAGCUACUUGGGAGGCUGAGGCGGGAGAAUGGCAUGAACCCAGGAGGUGGAGCUUGCAGUGAGCCAAGAUCGCGCCACUGCACUCCAGCCUGGGCAACAGAGUAAGACUCCAUCUCAAAAAAUAAAUAAAUAAAUAAAUAAAUAAAUAAAAUAAAAAAGAUUUUGAUAAUAUUGGAAGUGGGACCUAAAGGGAGGUGUUUGGGUCAUGGGGGUCGAGCUAUCAUGAAUGGCUUGGUGCAGCCCCCAAGUAAUAAGUAGGUUCUCACUCUAUUAGUACAUACAAUAAAAAGAGAACCAUGUCAAAAGGUACCUGAGAUACACCAAGAAAGCUCAAACUUGAAGACAUGUUUUUAAUAUGUAAAUGUGUAUGAAUGGAUACAUACAAGAUGUGUUUAAAAUCUGUUUGAGCUGCCACUGUCAGAUUCAAUGUAUAGCUAGCAUCAAUUUGCUGGGGUUAGAGGGCAUCAAGAUCUUCCCAGAAAUUCAGAGCCUUAGGUAAUCCAAAGGAAGAUUCUGUCAACAUUUAUACCUAAGCUUGACAGCCCUGAUGCCUCUUUGGACCUGGCUUGGAAAUAUGAUCCUCUAUUGUAGCAAUUGUACCUUGUUGCUGAAUGAUGUCAUCAUCCACAAGAUGGAUCCAUUCUUGAUUCUCACCCUAUUGACUUUUUUCCAUUGCAACCAUAACAUGGGCUAGCUGCUCUACACCUCUCCAGUGGACUUCAAGUGCUGCUGAGCUCAAAUAAAUCUUGUCUGUCCCACCAUUUUAACCAGACAGGCAGAGCUCUUCUGUCUUAAGUGUCUCAUAAAUCUUUCAAAUAGGUAAACUUCUAGUGCUAUGCUUCCUCUGACCGUUCUGCUAUUCUGUUUUCCUGUGCCAUGGUUUCUCAUUAGGUUUUCUACUGUUUUUUUGUUUGUUUGUUUGUUUGUUUUUCUUUUUGUUUUUGUUUUUGAGAUGGAGUUUCACUCUUGUCGCCCGGGCUAGAGUGCAAUGGCGCGUUCUCGGCUCACUGCCGCCUCUGCCUCUCGGGUUCAAGCAAUUCUCCUGUCUCAGCCUCCUGAGUACCUGGGAUUACAGGCACCCCCCACCAAGCCCAGGUAAUUUUUUUUUUUUUUUGUAUUUUUGGUAGAGACAGGGUUUCACCAUAUUGGCCAGGCCGGUCUCGAACUCCUGACCUCAGGUGAUCUGCCCACCUUGGCCUCCCAAAGU
rnacentral:lncRNA from 10 species